CGUAGGGUGCAAGCAUUGUCCGGAUUUAUUGGGCGUAAAGAGCUCGUAGGCGGCUUGUCACGUCGGAUGUGAAAACUCGGGGACUCAACCCCGAGCCUGCAUUCGAUACGGGCUAGCUAGAGUGUUGCAGGGGAGACUGGAAUUCCUGGUGUAGCGGUGAAAUGCGCAGAUAUCAGGAGGAACACCGGUGGCGAAGGCGGGUCUCUGGGCAACUACUGACGCUGAGGAGCGAAAGCGUGGGGAGCGAACAGGAUUAGAUACCCUGGUAGUCCACGCCGUAAACGUUGGGCGCGUAGGUGUGGGGAACCUUCCACGUUCUCCGUGCCGUAGCUAACGCAUUAAGCCGCCCCGCCGUGGGGAGUACGGCCGCAAGGACUA
rnacentral:rRNA from 1 species